CCAACACGAUCUCCACAGCCUCACCAGGACACGUAAUACAGCGCCACUUGCAAAGCGCCCUGUGCCCCUUGUAUACUUUCUCACAUUGUAUUCCCAUCAUGACCCUAGGAGGUAGGUUAUGUUAGUGUCACACUCAUCUUGCAGAUAAGAAAACAGAAGCACGGGGAAGUUAUGUAACCGGCUCAAGGUCAGCCAGCGUGGCAGAGCUGGAAGCGACUGUCACAGUGACUGGUGGGCAACUUGAUUUGCACGGUGCUGCCAGGUUCGUGGCCAUCAGCCUCUGCUGGGUCUGCCUUCCUCCUCCUCCUCGUUUCCUGGACCAAACUUUAUCAGGACGUCCCCUCUUCUCUGGGGCUCCUUCCAGCAAAUCCCAUUAAAGGCAGGGACCAGGUGAGCAGGAACAGCCUGGAUCUCAGAGAUCUGGAGACUUCUAGCUACAAAGCAUGAAGCAUAUUUACUUUGUCACCUGAAAUUAUUUUUGUUUCAAAGGCUUGAUUUAGGAAGAUCCAGAUGUUCACCUGGUCUCCAAUUGCUGAAGGAACGUGUGUUUUAAAGGCCAGCCGUCGAAGUACAUGCAUCCUGCCCUUGCCAUUCUGUGGAGGCCGCCUCUGGCCUUGACGUUAAACCAGUUACAGUUCUGUGCUGACGGCACACGUGGCCACGGCCAGGAUUUCCCGUGCCUCCACCUCACCGUUUCCUCUCUGCCUCUGAGCUGGUCCCCUUCAUUUCUCCCUUCCUCCCUCCCCACAACUUGCUCAGAUCUGUGGGUAAAUGUGCAGAAAUGUUCUGGAAAGUGGGGACAUUGAGGCUCCAGGCAGACAGGGGUUCAUAGGCCAGCUCAACCAUUUCUGGGCUCUACACCCACGGGCAGUUGACCCGAGUGUCAGAUGUCCACCUGGAAACUGAGAUCACGUGAAGAUGGUUUCGUUUGCAGCCUGGCGCAAGAUAAAGGAGUAGUAAAUGGCGUAAGGGGAUAAGCCUUUUGCCCAAAGCUCAGUGUAGUGUGAGGCACGGUGUGUCCUUAGCACUUGUGAAGGGCCUGCUUCCCCCUUGUCUCUCUCCACAGCCUUGGCCUCAGCCAUGGAUUCCUCCUGCCCUCAGAUCUCCCUCCGACGUGGACAGGCCCCGCCACUCCACGGACGCUUCUGUGACUCCCUCCUACCCAAGUAAAACCCACCCGUGCCGGUCUCUGCACAGGGUUCAGCUGGACUGAUGAACUAACCUUGGCUGACACUUUAACAGAGUGAGGUGACAUCUGAUCGAGGCCCGGCGACAAUGCUUCAGGGGUGCACAGGCUGCCACUCGCCCAGUAUUUCCCAAACAUCUGGACCAGGUGCUCACUUCUGCCAGAGCUGCCAAGAACGAUGCCCAACUCCCCAAAGGGGGACAGAUGGUAACCAGUCUCGGCCCAUGGCGGAAGGAAGAUCUUUGAAUUUGAGGUCACACCGCUUAGGUACCUGCUAGGCCAAUCUGUGUGUCCAUUAUGCCUGCCUUCCCACAGCAAGCCGAGAGCCACGUGAAGGGACAGAAGGGCAUCCCCUAUAGCCGGUGCCCAGCUGAGGGUGAGGAGAGACGCUGCACCAGGGUCCAGAGAUCAGGGCUUAGAUCUCACUCUGCUCAUGACUCAUGCACGACACAGGCAGCUCAUUACCCGCUGUUGUGGCUAAAAGGCUGUAACAGCACCGGCCCCUCCCUGCCUCAUAACGGUGACUCGGAGGAUUAAGGAGGAAACGAGCGCUAAGCUUGGUGAAUGCAGCUUUGUCCCCCAGCUGGUCCCUCUGAUUAUUCCACAAAACCGAUGGGAAAUAGCAAAGGUCAACGUUCUCUUUAUGGGAGGUUGAGGUCCUCACUGGGUGUGGUUCUGAGCUCCGUGUCUGUGUCACCCUCAUCUGGGGUGAGGCCCUGGGGUCAGACAGAAAAGGGGGGUUAGAGGGAACAUCGUCCAAGCUCUGGCCACGUGCCUGGGGCAUUUCACAUGGCAAGUCAGCUAAAGAAAUGGAUCUUGCUGGGCCUUCUGGAAACUUCUAGUAGCAAAAACCACAGACUGAACAGUACCUGUCAAGGCUGGAGCGAGCAGGAUGAAAGCUGUCUCUCCACGAUGCUGGCUUUCAGCGCUGGCCCCCCCCUUGCUCUCCACUUAUGUGAUUUGGUUUUGUGGUCUCUCUCGGUGGAAAGCCUCUAGGACGCUAGUGGCUGAAGCCAGAGCCCUAGAAGGACAGGAGGAGGGAGAGAGGCAGAUGGGGCGGCUGUGGCCCAGCUGCACGGAGCCAGCUAGGAGAGGCCACUUCCCUCCGUGCUGUGGCUUUUCCCACUCAAGAUCUGGAGGUGCCUCGGUGAAAGGUCUAGGUGGGAUUAAACCAAUUCUGCCAGCCCAAGAAUAUCGCUCGCCAUCCAGCUGUACCAGGAUUGAGUCAUCCACCACUGCCGUCACUGAUCUUCAACACACUCUGAAAGGAGUUCAGGGUGGAGAUCAGGAAUGAGGUGCUCUGGGCUCUGGGAAAACUGGCAGAACAGCCUUCGGUUAGAUAUUUUCAGGAGAAAAUUUUAUGAACACAAGCUCUUGCGUCUUCUCAUACUUGGAAAAGCGUUAAAAUCUUUAAGUAAGAUGUCUAUUCCCCGUGGCUAGCGGUAACCUUCUAGCGAGACGUGUGCUUGGUGGCAGGUACCCUUCUCCAAAAUCACAUAUAUGCUGAUCACCCCUUCCCCCCUUCCGAACAGUUUCUCAGAGCCAUCCGAGAGGCUGUGUCCUGGGCUACAGUCCUCGGUAAAUCCCCAAAUAAAACUGAAAGUCAC